rnacentral:lncRNA from 1 species
GGGGACAUCCUCUUCAGCUGCAAUGUAGUCUUCUGGGAUCUAAUUAUGAUGUCUCUUGGAAUCUGGCCCGCAUACAAGAAUUCGAGCUGGUUUUCCAGGGUGGAGACCAUGAAGAAAUCCCAGUCGGAUUCACUGGAAUUCAUUUACUAUUCAGUAGCAUGACCUAUAAAAACAAACAAAAAGAAUGUAGUGGACCAGGUCACUUGAGAGUACCAGUCAGCCUACAGGCUCAAACUGAUUUAUAGUUUGGAGGGAAGGAGAAGUGGCUUUGGAAACUCCAGCCUUUUCUAAAUGCCCUGUGCAUAUUUUGAGGACCAAAUGGAAGAGCCCUCCUAUAGCAGCACCCCAUGAGGAAGAAGUUUGUUACCUAUGGAUUCAAGCUGAAAAAGAUGAAGUACUAUUUCUUCUGAAAUAGCUGCUUAAGAAGCAGAAGAAACAGCUAUAGGGAGAAGCAUUCUCCAGGAAGGUCAUCAUCAUAGGCCAAAUGCUAUCAGGAAUGUAUCAUGAAGAAGAAAAGCUUGAAUAGAUCAGGAGAGGUCUAGGUUUAAUUCUGACUUCUAGCACAGGAACACGUGGUUGGCAGGUCAUUUAGACCUUCUGUAUCAUCCUAAGAAAUCCAGUCUGUG